UAGCUGUAAAGAAGAGAAAAGCUGGACCGGU
rnacentral:piRNA from 1 species